rnacentral:misc_RNA from 1 species
GAUGAAGAACGUAGCGAAAUGCGAUAAGUAAUGUGAAUUGCAGAAUUCAGUGAAUCAUCGAAUCUUUGAACGCACAUUGCGCCCGUCAGUAUUCUGGCGGGCAUGCCUGUUCGAGCGUCAUUACACCCCUCAAGUCCCCUGUGGACUUGGUGUUGGGGAUCGGCGAGGCUGGUUUUCCAGCACAGCCGUCCCUUAAAUUAAUUGGCGGUCUCGCCGUGGCCCUCCUCUGCGCAGUAGUAAAACACUCGCAACAGGAGCCCGGCGCGGUCCACUGCCGUAAAACCCCCCAACUUUUUAUAGUUGACCUCGAAUCAGGUAGGACUACCCGCUGAACUUAAGCAUAUCAAUAAGCAGGA